UCUAGACACCUUAGCAGAGCAUC
rnacentral:piRNA from 1 species